GGUGGGAGAGAGCUCAAGAGUCGGUACCGAGAGCCCCAUGGCAACCAGGGAGGCCGAGAUUGGCAUACUCCCCUCUCCAGGAGGCGCAUGCCUUCACACACAGAGAAAGGCAGAGGAGCCGAAGGGGGACAGGACCGAGCUUGCAUUUCUCCCUCCUGCGCGAAAGCUCAUGCCGUCCAUCAGAGGGAGGCAGAGGAGCUGAGCAAAGACGGGACCGAGCCUGCCUUUGUCCCUCACGCGCAAUGGCUCGUGCCACCACCAGAGGGAGGCAGAGGAGCUCAGCAGAGACGGGACCGAGCGUGCUUUCGUCCCUCACGCGCAAUGGCUCGUGCCACCACUAGAGGGAGGCAGAGGAGCUGAGCAAGGACGGGACCGAGCCUGCGUUACUCUUUCAUGCAGGAAGGCUCAUGCCCUCCCCCAAAGGAGGCAGAGGAGCCGAGGGAGGCCUGCGUUCCUCCCUCAUGCACGCAAAAGAUCAUGCUGUACCCCGCAGGGAAGCAGAGGAGCCAUGGAGAGGUCUGGGUCGCAGAUUAAAACUCCAGCCAGGGAGCAUGCUUCCUCCAGCUCCAGGAGAAAAACCUUCAGCAUUACUGGUAUCCCUGAGGGGUGAUGCUGAGGCACCUAAGAGAGUUUUCUGCCUUUUCCUUUUCCCGACAUUUGCUGCCUCAGCCUCUUCUUGGAAAGAGGAAGCUGGGAAGAUAUAGGCCAUAGCGGAUGGCUGGGAGGGGGCUGGCUGGCUGUGUGGAGAAUGCCUGUGAGGAAACAGGCUCCCAGACAGAGGAUUUUCAGCAACUGCAUUCACUGUUACCCUGGUAGACAAGGCCUCUGCCUGUACAACUGUAUCUGCAUCUGCAGAAAAUGGCCAAGAGGCAACACUAAGUACACAUUGGAAGACUCCUGCCUUACAAGGUAAAAAUAGCAUUUUUAGCUCUUCUGAAGUACUGGGUCCUAUGACAGUUUUGUUCUUAAACAGUAGACAUUUGUGUUUCUGAGGGUCCAUCUAGAAAAUGACAAAAAGGACAUAAAUGAGCCAAAAUAUAUAUUCUAGAGACAUUACAAAUACAAAAUUCUAGAAAGACAUUUAUGAAUAUAAAGUCAUCUUCCAGCUGUUGUCCCGAUGUAUACCAACCUCUACUUGAGCACAAACAUAAAAGCUUCACCACAGUGAGUGGAAAUCUUUAUAGUACUGGUUAGCCCCAUUAAUAUCCAGGUAUUUUUCUUCUUCAGCAGCAUGAACCCAAAAUUACUAGGAUUUGUAAUACUCCAUAAAACACAUAAAUUAACCUAUACAUCAAGCCUGGAUACAUACCUUUUCCCCAUUAAGCAUAACACUAAGAAGGUUGAUGCUGACUUGUAGCCACCUUUCAGAUGGGUUAAGAAUACUAAGAACUGUGUGUGAAGUCAGUCCUACACAGCAUGAAUAAGGGAACUUUACUUCUGCAGGGACUUUCACACGUACUAGGAAAGAAAAAGAAAAGCCAGCAAGACUUAAAAAAUUGUUUAAAAGGUAUGUGUUUAGUUUCAUGUUUAUUUUGUUAGCCUAUAAUAAUUAGAAGCAAAACUGAGGAAAAGAAUGUUUAAUUCUACAUCUGAUUCCAACAAAUAUGUCAUUUCAGUUGUCUGUUUUGUUACACUUACAGCUUAAAACAGGAAACAGGUUUCUGAAGAUCACCCAUUUACACAAAUGUUACUGACAAUGUAACAGAUUUACACUGCAGUGUUUACAGUGGACUCUGCAGAAAUGACUUCAGCCGUACUUUAUAAAAAGGAAAAUCUGCCUGUUUAGCAAGCCUUGCAAAUGCUGGUUUAUUAUCAGGAAAUGCUUGAUUUUUAUAUCCAUUUUAUAUAUCUAUAUACCUAGGAUGACAAAAAGCUUCUCAGGCAGAAAGGGGUAAUGAAUGGAAAAAGUUUAAGAAGCCUUGAUUUAGAGAAGCUGUUUGAAAAACAGAAAGUUUAAGAAGCCCUGUUCUAGACAAAGAGGCUUCACAAAGUGGAAAUUCUGCUCAACUAAGGGGUUAAAAAUUGGGACCAAGAAAUCUAUAUGACACUAUAAUUUAGAAAACAGUACUAUAUAUAAAAAGAAUUGACUUACCAUAGCCAAAUGGCAUGGAUUCCUCCCUUUCAGCUAUUUGCCCUGUUAUAGAUGGGCCGAGUAAAUUCUGGUUUGAUGGGAAGUUAUAAUGUGGAGUUGUACCUAAUACUCUGGAUGUCACAUCUGCACGUAAUGCCAAUCCAGCAGUCAGUGAAUUUUGAACAUGAUCCAAAGGGAUGGCAGAAUAAAUAAGUCCUGCUGGAACACCAAAAACUGGAGGACAACCAACAUGAUACUGAGGCAAAACAUUUGUCUGAGACUGCAAGCUUCCUAGAUAGUGUUGGGCAAAUGGAGUUCUUGUAAGGGAACAGCCUGUAAGCAAGGUUGGAAUUCCAGAAGAUGUUGGUGGACAGUCUGAAGCAACACCACUAUUUCUGAAAUUUGUUCUGUUUUGAUUUACUGCAAUAUAGCCGUCUAGAGCAUCAAAAGCAGGCACAUUUUUUAGCAAGGAUAGGCCUAGUUUCUGAGCCAUGUUUUUACAGUCAUGCUCUGUUACAGGGAUAUCAACACAAGUCAAUUCAUUGUUAUUUGGAUUAUUCUGUGCAGACUCAUCUUCUCUUUUAGGGGGAAGCUCUCCAGUUGAUUUCUGGUUUUCAGGUAGGCAGGUCAGUUGAGCAGAUUCGUCUACUUCUAGCUUUUUAGGAUGUUUUCUUGGCUGAUUGAUCUCAUUUUGCAAAUGAAGUUUUCCCCUAUUUUCUUGCUCCAAUGAUGAAGUUGGACUGGUCCAAACUAUUGUUGUGCUCAACUCACUGGGACGAUUAGUCUAAACAAAAGGCAUCAACGUGUUAUUGGUACAGUCAGCCCUCUACAUUCUCAGGAGUUGGGAGUACAGAACCCCCCAUGAAACUAGAAAAAUCGAAUACCUUAACCCUGCAACCCAGUAAAAUCCCCAUAUUUAUCACACGCAAAAAGUACAGAAUUGUAACGCGCAAGCACUAAACGAAUAAGAUGUGCCAGUUCUUACUUGCUUUGCACCAUAUGUGCACAUGUGUGCUCCUUGCGAAGUGAGCUGGAGUUUUAAAAGUUGUCAAGACCAGAUCAGAUUCCGUGUGUGUGUGCACAUGGAUCUGUGUCUGUUAAAGGAUUAGAUCUUCAAAAAGCAAUCUCUUCCAGAGAUGUUAGCCUGCCCAGCUCAGGGGAGAGUUGAGAUAAAAGAUUAGGCUGCUGAAAAGGCCAUAUAGCUGCCUCUUUGUGCCUGAAUGUGUGAGGGGUUUUUUGGGUUAUGUCCUAGAUUCCGAAGUCAGGAACAAGGGAAGAAUCAGAUUGCCAAAAAAUACACCCCACUCCAUCCAAUUGCUUUCAACGACUUUCCAGGAAACAUGGGCUGCUAUGGGUGGGGACUGAGGAAGCAGACAGUCAAACUGCAAUGCAGAAAUCUGUAGCAGGUGUGUGCAUGCAUGCUACCCAACACAAUUUUAAGAAGGCUUUAUUAACCUGUUCCCACUCUCUCACAGUGUUUUUCAGUCUCAUGAAGCUUGCAGAGAGACUAGGAAGCCCGAUCAAGACUUAUAAACCCAUGUAAAAGAUGGUGUAAGCCAGCUCCAGAAGCAGUGACAUGUAAUCUGACAGAAAUCAAAUCCACAAAAACCAAAAGCACAAAUGUGGACAGCUAGCUGCAUUCAUAAUAUAUGGUAAUCUUAAAAUCAGGGGUCAUGGCCAUACAUGUCGAGAGAUCUGUUUAAAAACUUUAGUCUCAAAAGACAACUAUGACACAUUCAAAUUAAUAUAAUUUUGAUUCAAAUGCACUCUUUAAACAUUACAUUUAAAAUGUUACUGCUGAAAACUAAAAACAGCAGCAAAGAUAAUGAUUGCUCUUAACACUUGGACAAUAUAUAUUUAAUUCCACUUUCUCACUAUUUAGUCUGCAGUAUCAUGGUGAUACGUGAUAACUGUUUCGCCAGGAAACAUAUAACUAUGACAUUAUCAUCAGUACUAGCCCUGCUACUCCACUGUACCUAUAAGGAACAGAAACAAUGUACGGUAAUUGGGUUUCAGUUUUAAUCCAGAUUACACAGGCUAGAAUCUGGCACGUUACAGCAGUACUUGUAUAGCAUUUAAUAUUACCUCAAAGAAAGGCUAAACUACAAGAAAAAGAAUUAAAUAUAAGCACAAUAUAUACAAAUGGCAAAACAUUUAACCAUCUACUUACUCGACAUGUCUCUGAAGUAGACAAUGCUAGAUAAUUUAGAGCAUUUUCUGUGGCAGAAACAAAAGUCAAUCGUUGCAAGCUGGGAUCAGUGUACCCCAGAGGUAAAGUAGUAUCAUUGCAAGAUGGUUCCUUAAAAUUAGGGGCUGCAUUAGGACAAUCAGAUCUAAGAACCAGAACAAAAGCUUUUUAAAAGAUAUCCACACGUAAAUUUGAGGUUCAUUCUGAAUGCAGUAUGGUACAAUCAGAGGGACCAAUGGCAGUUAGGCAUAUCUUUUACCAGCAUAGGUUGAUAUAGCAGCUGUGAUCUUACUGCAGAAGAGCAGAAAUUGCUUCCAACAUUCAUUCAUGCCCUGGUUUCUAUGCAAAGCUAUGUUUCAGACUGUACAAAAGCUUCAACUAGUGCAGAAUGCAGCAGACGACAUGCUAGCUUGACUCAAGCAACUGGAGUAUAUUACAAUUCUUUAUUAGGUUGCAUUCACUACCGUUCACAUCUGAGCCCAAUUUAAAAUAACGGAAUUGAAAUUUUGAAACCAAAUUUAUUUACCAUUGGAUUAUUCGAUUACUUCCUGCAUGCAUAUGAAGCUACCCAGACCCAAAGACUAACCCAGUAAUUUUAAAUUAAUUUUCUUGGAACUUGUGGGAACAAAUAAUAGAACAUCCUCAUCAAGAAGUAUAGUUGUUUUCUUCCAUCUUUUGUCUUAAAAAAGCCCUACUUACUUCAGUCUUAACUUUGAUCUUAAACACUAUCUCCAUUUUUAAAAAGAAUAUAUUACUUAUUCUUCUUGUGAUAUUAAUUUGAUGUAUUUUAUCUCUCCUACUCUACAAUAAUUAUUUAUAUGGAUAUUAUUUCAAACCUGCUUUAAUAAUGAGGGGAACUGGGAAAACAAUUUCCAUAACAUCAUUAAAAAAUAUUUUAAGGACAUCUUAAUUUGUAAAUUUAUGCCUGCCUCACGCUUACAUAUUCAGCAAGUCUCAAUUUGCAUUAAUAAAUCAGAUUAUGCUACUCUUCAAUGCAGUUUUAAAUUCCUAGAAUUUUUAACCACAACUAUGCAACCCACAAUAGUUUCCUAUGUUGCAUAACUGAAAACUACAGCACCAAUCAAAUGCAAUAAUUGUAAACAACGGCAGUAUCUCAUUUUUUAAUUUAAACUCUCAACAUGAUGCAAAGUCCUCCACUACUUCAUCUUUCUUCCCUAACUUUUUUGGAUGUGUGCACAGAUAAAAUCAGAGGCAAAUAUAACAUUUGCAAAUGUCAAAUUUAUAAAUGGGUAAAUACAAUAGGAGGACAGUAUCUUAACAAGAGAAGCCACAUUUAAUAUAUACAGUAUCCAAACUCAAUUGUUGGCAUUUUCCGUUUUAUAAAAAAGAAAAGAAUGACAAAUACCACUCACUGGCUGCCAGACAGUUGUUUCCAAUACAAGCAGGCAAUGCUGUCCAACAGGCUGACAGCAUAAUUUAUAAUAAUCUAUAAUGGGUGAGCAAUUUUAUUCAUGCUUGAGCCCCUGGAAAUUAGCCAAAGAUGUACCAGGAAACUUCUGGUGUGGUUUUUUGGGAUGUAGAGAUCAGAAAACAAACUACAGCUCCAGGAGGGCUCUAGCAGCGCUGAUCAAACUUUUCGAGCUAGUUUGAAAAACCUUUCAAGCUAGUAUUACAAACGGGCACCUUUGUAAUAAUGAGGGGUAGAUAUGAAAGUUUUGGAGUCAGAAUAAGUUAUUUUCUAGGUUGUUGAGCCUUUAGGCCACAUUCUCAACUCAUUACACAGCAUAACAAAAACAACAAAAAUUUGUUGGUGUCUUGGUUUUUAGUCCUGUUCCUAGGGUUUUUUGAGGCACUGAUUCAGAAAAUUGUAUUGGUUACACUGCAUCAAGCUCUGGUUUCUUAGAUAUGGUUAGCAUUGUUUUCUAUGAGUGAUCAGACAACUGGUAAGUGGCAUUUGUUUUGUAUCUCCAAAAUUAGAACUAACAGGGAAAAAUUGUGUGAGUUUUGAGAUCAGCAAGUCAAAUAUAAACAGGGCUAACAUUGAAACACCAAAAUGUGUAUUGGCCAGUGUUAUCUGAAAUAAUAUCUCCCAAUCACAUCUACGUGUGCUUUUCCCAAUUUCACAUAAGUUGCUACCUUGAAGAAGCAGUUGAAGAAGAAGUAUCACUUGGAGAUGAAUGAGUAAGAGGAGAGGUUGAAGGCCUGAAAUUGUACUGUUCAUUUUCUGAUGCCUCCGCAUUGGUGAUAGAAGUUGUAAGCGUCUGUUUAACUACUACAGCUGCUUCACCUGAAAAUUUGAAAAACAAAUAUACUAGAUUAAUGAAGUUUUUUUCCAGUUACACGAGACUCUCUAACGACUCUGACCAUCUCAGGAAUAAAACAUCCCAGGAGAUAUUACUGAAGCUUAUACUGGGCUCACAAUAGCAACAGAAAUUAAAACAUUUCUAAAACGUCAUAUGUUAGUGUUUAUACAUAAGAAAAAGUUACCCUAGAAUGUAUUGUUAUAGUUGCAGACUACACCAACCUUCCACAAAACUGCAAGCAUAGGCCAAAGAAAGAAUCUUCACACAAAUAAACCCUUUUUGAUCAAAAAGAAUCUUUGAACUUUAAGGUCAUCCAUCAGAAUACAAUGUUAACAUUUAUGCUCCUUAGGCCAGUGAACACCACACUGUGUAGAUGUUACUAAUGAAGGAGGACAAGAAGCUUAACUUUUCCUGUGCUUGGUUUUGUAAUUGUGUCAUUCAAUUAAGAACCCAACCUCUGGGAGAAAACUCCACUAUGAAUCAAAGAAAUAAAUGUAAAUAGAAACUAAGCAAUGUAAAGUUGUGCAAUAAAAUCCAGAAACAAGGGUUUUUUUUUUUUUUACUGCAGUGCAUUAGUUGAAGCUUGCCUCCACCAAGUGUCAGGAUGAAUGGCAAAAGGGAAUACUAAAGUUUUGGCUAAGCAUUGCCUUUACAAGGUGUGAUAACACAGAAAUUCUUCAUUAACAAUAUGAAAUACAAUAAGGAAUGUGAAUUUUAUUAGGUCAUAUAUUUUUAUUAGGUCAAAAAAGGUGCUGUAGAAGUGGUGCAGCUACAUUCUUACUUACCAAUAUUUUUUCUGUUAUCAGGAGAUAGGUUUUCGAAAGUUACAUGUCUUCCUUCACUGUAUAUAUCGUUUCCUUUCAAGAUUUUACUGUUUUGAGUCUCCUCAAACAUAACAUGGUCUUUAGCUUCUUCUUCGUUACCACAUACUGGAAAAUGGGAAACAAAUGCUGCAGUAGAGUUUAAACUGUAGGGAUGAUUGCUCUUGCUAUCUAUUUCUUCCAGUUCAGAAUCAACUGAAUAAAGACAAAAGAAAUCCUAUGCUGCUUCUUUUUUCCAGACUGAAUACAAAAAUUAAUUUUGGAUGACUCUCCAGAACUCGCAGUUUCACAUUCUUGUCUGCCCGAUUUAUGCCCAUUUGAGACAAUUUCUUCAUGUUUAAUUAUACUUUCAGGCUUGCUAUUUGCUGUACUGGUGGAUAAUAGUUGCCUGAUGGCAGAAAAAUCUUUGAGCUUGGUAGCUUUAGAAAUAUUAUCUUCUUUCUGACUUUUACUUGAGAGUUUCAUCAUUAAAGCAGCUAGCUGUGAAGGUUCAGCACUAACAGAAGCAUCUGCAAUGGCAGAUGCAAUUGUACUCAUACUUAGGAUAGAAGCCUCUACAUCAUGGUGCCCAUGCUGAAUUUUUCUUGCUUCAAGUUUCUCCUAAAAAUUGGCAAAAUAUAAUACUGACAUGUUAACAUCCUACAGUUAAGAUAUGUAUAAAGAUUCAUUACAAAAAUACUCAAGACAAGUUGAGCAAAAAAAACUAUUCAACUGUUAUGAAAAAACACAUUGGGUAUUAAUAUUCUAGAUUGUUGAAAGGCAGAAAUCAAUGAGGAAGUGGAACUAAGAAUGCAAAACUUUUACUAAUAUAGUAUACAUUUUAAUGCUCUGUUCUCAAUAUCAAAACUUUUGAGAAACACUGUGAUGUACAAUUGACUCUCUAAAAAACAAUUAUCCUAUGGCAUAUAAAAUAUUUGGUAUUUUUGUAAACUUAA